UUGUGCUUCUUUUUCUUCUGAUGUAGAGGUAUGAAGUCCCAUCCUCUUUGCUGGGUAAAAGCUGCUGGGUUCUCCUGGAAAUCAGGUUGCAACCACUGUGUGAGUUAGCUUCCAGAUAUGUUUGUCAGGGCUACUGAACCUUGCUUGUGUGUCCCAAGGAGACUUCUGCUUCCAACUGGCUAUGUUGGAGCAACCUUGGGCAUGGUUAUGCGUGCAGCAGUCCUGUCUGCAACAGAGAUACAGCUGAUUGAGCUGCAGCAGUGAUGGUUUGCUCUGCAAGCUACCUGCAACCACUCCUGGACAGUGAGCAGCUCCUACUUUGGCUUGCACCCUCCAAGCAAGCUCUGGUGAAGAAAACUAGAGAAAGGAAGAAGGAAUUGGGAACAACUGUAAUAAAGUCAUGAACUUGGGAAGACAGACUCUGGAGUCCUCUGAAUGUUUUCUUUCAGAAAUAAACCAAAAAUGCAUCCUGGCCAAACCUUAGCUUCCUGAAAAAUUGACAGAAUUAAUUUCUUUUCCAUAAUAUAGAUUAUCCUUUUGGAAAAAUAACUGGAGUCUUACUAACCCAUGCAGAAUAGAUUGUCCAGUUUUCUACGGCUGCUGCCAUAGGUCCUAGCCUAAUUAUGCGUAUGAAGUGUAGGCAAGUGUAAUUAUGAUACAGGCAGAUUUAUUUGUCCUCAGACAGGUUUUCAAAUAACAAAAGAAUAUAAAUAUUGGAUGUAUGGAAAGAAAAUGUCCAUUAUUAAAAUCAAUCCACAAGCUUGUACCAUAAAAAAAUCUCUCUUUAACACAGCUGU